rnacentral:tRNA from 1 species
GUCGGUGUGGUGGAAUUAGGAAUACACGACAGACUCAAAAUCUGUUGCCGAAAGGCAUGAGGGUUCGACCCCCUCCACCGAUA